CCGUGCCGGGCCGUGCCGUGCCGUGCCGUGCCGUGCCGUGCCGUGCCGGACCGGGCUGCUCGCGGCGCUCCCCGCCCGCGGCCCGCGACCUCCCCCUCCCGCCCCCACAAUGGCUGGGGCGUCUGAGCUGGCUCUUUGGGCCUCCGGGGAGCUGCGAGGGAAAGGCGGUGGACUUGAACCGUGUCGGGUUACUGCACACGUGGCAGUAAAGGUGUUCCUCUGUGGCCGAUAGGAUGCUGAGCUGUAAAUUUGGAUGUGACUGAAAAACAAAUAUUGUUUGAAGUUGCUUCUGACAGCUUCCAAGGACAAUGCAUUCCACCCAGCUACACCUUGUUUGAGAGCUAACAGCUUAUGCUUGUGUUCAGCCAAAGCAGAAUUUCUCUUUGUGACUUGUCUACAAAAUGAUGAAGCUGAACCAGCUACUGGAAUGUAUAUGCACUGGGCCAGCCAAAAUAAAUAUAUUCCCACAGUUGAGGCAAUUCACAUCCAUCCUGAAUUCUCACUUCAUGGCUGUUUAGUUCUGGGGCUUUAAGUGCAUU